AGUGAACGCUGGCGGUAGGCCUAACACAUGCAAGUCGAACGGCAGCACAGUGAGAGCUUGCUCUUACGGGUGGCGAGUGGCGGCCGGGUGAGGAAUACAUCGGACUCUACUUUUUCGUGGGGGAUAACGUAGGGAAACUUACGCUAAUACCGCAUACGACCUACGGGUGAAAGCAGGGGAUCUUCGGACCUUGCGCGAUUGAAUGAGCCGAUGUCGGAUUAGCUAGUUGGCGGGGUAAAGGCCCACCAAGGCGACGAUCCGUAGCUGGUCUGAGAGGAUGAUCAGCCACACUGGAACUGAGACACGGUCCAGACUCCUACGGGAGGCAGCAGUGGGGAAUAUUGGACAAUGGGCGCAAGCCUGAUCCAGCCAUACCGCGUGGGUGAAGAAGGCCUUCUGGUUGUAAAGCCCUUUUGUUGGGAAAGAAAAGCAGCAGGUUAAUACCCCGCUGUUCUGACGGUACCCAAAGAAUAAGCACCGGCUAACUUCGUG
rnacentral:rRNA from 1 species